CACAAAGACGAGGAAGGACAUAGUAAUCGAUGAAAUUCUUCAAUGAGUAGAAAAUAAGCAUAGAUCCGAUGAUUCCUGAAUAGGGAGACCUUUCAAACUGUUGUUAAAUCCAUGGGAAGGCAAGAGACAAACUGGCAAACUGUAACAUCUUAGUAGCCAGAGGAAAAGAAAGCAAAAGUGACCCCAUAGUAGUGGCGAGUGAAAUGGGAGCAGCCUAAACCGUGAAAUUGGUGUUGUGGGAGACCAAUACAAUCGUCGAGCUUCUAGGAGAAGCAACAUGAUUGAUGCACCAUAGAUAGAGAAAGUCUAGUAGCUGAAAGCAUCACUAGCUUACUCUCUGACAUGAGUAGCAUUGGGCACGUGGAAUUCUGUGUGGAUCAACAAGGACAAACUUGCUAGGCAAAAUACUCCUUGUG
rnacentral:ncRNA from 1 species